AAAAACGGCAACACCUCAACUACAGGUUGCUCAAGUGUGAGCCACCAGAAUUGACAAAGAAUACUGGAUAGGUGUGGAAAUGUCACACGCUGAGGGCUGGGUGCAGGCUGGGUUCUCUCUCGCUCCUCCUCUGCAGGGCAUGACGGGCAGGUGCUCUACAUUAUCGUUGAUUGAGGCACUUCUUAAGGAGCUGCUUUCCAGCAGGAGGGCAUCAGUUCUUACUCGCUUCCAGCGUGGUAUAUGACCAGCCUUGUAUCUAGUUCUGAGUAUCUUUCCGAGCCUUGUUUAACUCCAUGCUUUUGCUCCUUGCCCCAUCUAGAAUCCUGGACUCCCGGGUUAACGCACCUCAAAGUCAGAUCUCCUCGUGUCAAGAUCAGAACUCCCAGACCUCACUCACGGUUAAGUCCUCCUGCUGUGCUCACCUGCCUGUCCACCCUCCAACACCGCAGAACCCAGAACAUCACCCUCCCUGGACUAAAACCCAGCCAAGAACCCAUGGAACCCGGACAAACCGACCAGCCAGAACCACACCCAAGCCUACACCAGUUUUCAAUAAACUUUCUAAACCUAA